GCAAACACACUAACAACUUAAAAUCAAAGAGAGUGCUAAGGCAUCAGAAGUAAAGAGAAGGGAGGAGAAGAGAAUAUGGAGACACAUAUAGAAAGAGAAACAUCAUUGGAUUUAUACAGCCCAUGCCAUUUCUUAUACAGUCCCUGUCAUUUCUUUGAACAAGUUGUUAAAGCUUUCUCCAAAUGCUUGUGCCUUGAUGCAGAAGAUCCUCCUGGAAGUGGAACACGCACAACAUCACAAGCCAUGAGGAGGCCUCCAAGACCACCCUUAAGUGCAGGACGUGGUGGCCAAAUCAACCUCAUUUCUUCUUAAUAACCUCAUGAAUAUGUAUAUCUCACUAUUUGCAAGGCUAAGUUAACUUAUAUAUGUGCUUGAAAUUGAUAUUUAUCAGGCAGCAUCUUCAUGGUUAGAGACAGAUUAUGAGGUUUUUUUCAUGACCAUCGAUCCAUGUCACCCUACUGGUUUCUAAUAUGAUUUUCAUUUUCACUCUCAUCAUUACAGAUAAGAUGAUAUUUUUUUAUCAAAUCAUUUUCAUUUUGUUGCUUUGUUCUCAUAUUAGUAGCUUAACUAGGUUCCAAUGGAGUCCAACUUCUUCCCAUUAUUGGACAGUCUAGUACUGGAUUAUAAGGAAAAAUGAGAUUAAUAAUUUAUUUUAUUAAAAAAUAAGUUAAAAUCAUUACGUUAGAUUUUAAUUUUUAUCACAUGUCACAAUCUUAAUAUGGUAAUGGACUCACUAGUAAUGAAGAAGAUCCAAAUUCUUUCGUAUGUAUUAAGCAUAUGAGGAGAGUCUAAUCUAAAAUAUUAAUCUAUUAGAUGGAUGAGAGAUAUUUGAGACUCAUAAUAUUGUCACCCCUUCAAGGAUUGAUGUCUUUCACGCUAUUAGCGAUGACAUGAUUGUAGCCUUUUUCUUUUGCCUUCUCCAUUCACUAUCAUUAUUCUGUAAUAUACUUUAAUCCAGACUAUAAAUAGCCUUUUGGUGGCCCAACUCAAACCUUUUAUCAAAGGAGACACAAAACUUUGCUCACAUAAAUUUAUGUCUUUGCAACCAAGCAAUACUGAUCAUGACUCAAGGAACUCACCAAACAGCCAUGACUGAAGGACAAAGUACUCACCAAGCAACCAUGACUCAAAGACCUGACCAAACAACUACAAAUGAUCAAGCUCUUCAUCUCCAAAUAACCAAGACAAUCAGAGAACACAAUCAUCAACUUCCUUUACAAAGUCAACAAACCAGAAAAACCAACUCUGCACCAACUGAACUUACAAGACCAAGCCAACAACAUACAAUUGCAUAUGGCCAUAACAGCAGAUGCAUCUAUGUUUUCCAAUUAGUUAUAGUUUUUGUUAUCAGUACGUUUUAUAUAUUUCACAUGUGCUCUUAGUUAGUUAGUUAGACUUUUAGCAUGUGCUCUUAUUUUAGUUAGUUAGUAGGCCUUCUAUUCUUGUAUAAAUUCUGAGCUUUAAGAGAGUUUUAAUUCAUCUUUUUGUAACAAGUUUGAACUGAUCUUUAG
rnacentral:lncRNA from 1 species